rnacentral:rRNA from 1 species
CCUACGGGAGGCAGCAGUGGGGAAUUUUGGACAAUGGGCGAAAGCCUGAUCCAGCAAUGCCGCGUGCAGGAAGAAGGCCUUCGGGUUGUAAACUGCUUUUGUACGGAACGAAACGGUCUGCUUUAAUACAGUGGGCUAAUGACGGUACCGUAAGAAUAAGCACCGGCUAACUACGUGCCAGCAGCCGCGGUAAUACGUAGGGUGCGAGCGUUAAUCGGAAUUACUGGGCGUAAAGCGUGCGCAGGCGGUUAUAUAAGACAGUUGUGAAAUCCCCGGGCUCAACCUGGGAAUUGCAUCUGUGACUGUAUAGCUAGAGUACGGUAGAGGGGGAUGGAAUUCCGCGUGUAGCAGUGAAAUGCGUAGAUAUGCGGAGGAACACCGAUGGCGAAGGCAAUCCCCUGGACCUGUACUGACGCUCAUGCACGAAAGCGUGGGGAGCAAACAGGAUUAGAUACCCUGGUAGUCCACGCCCUAAACGAUGUCACUGGUUGUUGGGUGCAUUAGUACUCAGUAACGAAGCUAACGCGUGAAGUUGACCGCCGUGGGGAGUACGGCCGCGAAGGUUGAAACUUAAGNGAAUUGACGGNNGAGAGAGCGAGGACGACGACGAGGGAGGAGG